GCCCGCAUGGCUCAGUGGUAGAGCGUGUCACUAGUAAAUCCCUUCAAUUGAGGGACGAUCUAGGAUCAUGACAAGGUCGUCAGUUCGAUUCUGGCUGUGGGCA